GAUGAACGCUGGCGGCGUGCCUAAUACAUGCAAGUCGAGCGAACGGACGAGAAGCUUGCUUCUCUGAUGUUAGCGGCGGACGGGUGAGUAACACGUGGAUAACCUACCUAUAAGACUGGGAUAACUUCGGGAAACCGGAGCUAAUACCGGAUAAUAUUUUGAACCGCAUGGUUCAAAAGUGAAAGACGGUCUUGCUGUCACUUAUAGAUGGAUCCGCGCUGCAUUAGCUAGUUGGUAAGGUAACGGCUUACCAAGGCAACGAUGCAUAGCAGACCUGAGAGGGUGAUCGGCCACCCUGGAACUGAGACACGGCCCGGACUCCUACGGGAGGCAGCAGUAGGGAAUCUUCCGCAAUGGGCGAAAGCCUGACGGAGCAACGCCGCGUGAGUGAUGAAGGUCUUCGGAUCGUAAAACUCUGUUAUUAGGGAAGAACAUAUGUGUAAGUAACUGUGCACAUCUUGACGGUACCUAAUCAGAAAGCCACGGCUAACUACGUG
rnacentral:rRNA from 1 species